rnacentral:rRNA from 1 species
AGAGUUUGAUCCUGGCUCAGAACGAACGCUGGCGGCAGGCCUAACACAUGCAAGUCGAGCGAGAAAGUUCCUUCGGGAAUGAGUAAAGCGGCGAACGGGUGCGUAACACGUAGGUAACCUGCCCUUAAGACCGGGACAACUUGCCGAAAGGUGGGCUAAUACCGGAUAAGACCACGAUUCCCACGGGUAUUGCGGUCAAAGGUGGCCUCUCCAUGGAAGCUUCCACUUAGGGAUGGGCCUGCGCACCAUUAGCUUGUUGGUAGGGUAACGGCCUACCAAGGCUACGAUGGUUAGCUGAUCUGAGAGGAUGAUCAGCCACACUGGAACUGAAAUACGGUCCAGACUUCUACGGAAGGCAGCAGUGGGGAAUAUUGCGCAAUGGGGGAAACCCUGACGCAGCAACGCCGCGUGAGUGACGAAGGCCCUCGGGUUGUAAAGCUCUGUCGAGAGGGACGAAAACAUCCUGGUCCAAUAGGCCGGGAUACUGACGGUACCUCUAAAGGAAGCACCGGCUAACUCCGUGCCAGCAGCCGCGGUAAUACGGAGGGUGCAAGCGUUGUUCGGAAUUACUGGGCGUAAAGCGAGUGUAGGCGGCUCUUUAUGUCGGGUGUGAAAGCCCUCGGCCCAACCGAGGAAGUGCGCCCGAAACUGGAGAGCUUGAGUACGAGAGAGGAGGACGGAAUCCCCAGUGUAGAGGUGAAAUUCGUAGAUAUUGGGAAGAACACCGGUGGCGAAGGCGGUUCUCUGGAUCGAUACUGACGCUAAGACUCGAAAGCGUGGGGAGCAAACAGGAUUAGAUACCCUGGUAGUCCACGCCGUAAACGAUGGAUACUAGUUGUUGGAAGCUUUUAAACUUUCAGUGACGACGCUAACGCAUUAAGUAUCCCGCCUGGGGAGUACGGCCGCAAGGUUAAAACUCAAAGGAAUUGACGGGGGCCCGCACAAGCGGUGGAGCAUGUGGUUUAAUUCGACGCAACGCGAAGAACCUUACCUGGACUUGACAUCUAGGGAAUUCCCCCUAAUAGGGGAAGUGCCCUUCGGGGAACCCUAAGACAGGUGCUGCAUGGCUGUCGUCAGCUCGUGUCGUGAGAUGUUGGGUUAAGUCCCGCAACGAGCGCAACCCUCGCCUUUAGUUGCUACUUCGCUUUCGGGCGAAGGCACUCUAAAGGGACUGCCCGGGUUAACCGGGAGGAAGGUGAGGAUGACGUCAAGUCCUCAUGGCCUUUAUGUCCAGGGCUACACACGUGCUACAAUGGUCGGUACAACGGGUUGCCAAACCGUGAGGUGGAGCUAAUCCCAUCAAAGCCGAUCUAAGUUCGGAUUGGAGUCUGCAACUCGACUCCAUGAAGUUGGAAUCGCUAGUAAUCGCGGAUCAGAACGUCGCGGUGAAUACGUUCCCGGGCCUUGUACACACCGCCCGUCACACCACGAAAGUUGUUUAUACCAGAAGUCGGUGAGCUAACCUUCGGGAGGCAGCCGCCCAAGGUAUGAGUGAUGAUUGGGGUGAAGUCGUAACAAGGUAACC